rnacentral:rRNA from 1 species
UACGUAGGGUGCAAGCGUUAUCCGGAAUUAUUGGGCGUAAAGAGCUCGUAGGCGGUUUGUCGCGUCUGCUGUGAAAACUGGAGGCUCAACCUCCAGCCUGCAGUGGGUGCGGGCAAACUAGAGUGCGGUAGGGGAGAUUGGAAUUCCUGGUGUAGCGGUGGAAUGCGCAGAUAUCAGGAGGAACACCGAUGGCGAAGGCAGCUCGCUGGGACGUUACUGACGCUGAGACGCGAAAGCGUGGGGAGCAAACAGG